GCCUCCUUCUUAGCCCAGUGGUAGAGCACUGGUCUCGUAAACCAGGGGUCGUGGGUUCGAAUCUCACAGAAGGCA